GAUGCUGCUGCUGUUGUU
rnacentral:miRNA from 1 species